rnacentral:rRNA from 1 species
UGGGGAAUAUUGCACAAUGGACGGAAGUCUGAUGCAGCAACGCCGCGUGCGGGAUGACGGCCUUCGGGUUGUAAACCGCUUUUUCUCAUGACGAAGUUUUUUGACGGUAGUGGGGGAAGAAGCACCGGCUAACUACGUGCCAGCAGCCGCGGUGAUACGUAGGGUGCGAGCGUUGUCCGGAAUUAUUGGGCGUAAAGAGCUUGUAGGCGGUUUGUCGCGUCGAUAGUGCAAACUCAGUGCUUAACGCUGAGCCUGCUGUUGAUACGGGCAGACUAGAGGAAGGUAGGGGAGAAUGGAAUUCCCGGUGGAGCGGUGGAAUGCGCAGAUAUCGGGAGGAACACCGGUGGCGAUGGCGGUUCUCUGGGCCUUUCCUGACGCUGAGAAGCGAAAGCGUGGGGAGCGAACAGG